rnacentral:lncRNA from 1 species
GUUCCCCGCCUCUACCAAGCGGCCUGCCCUAAACGUGUAAGAAUUUUUUAAAAGUUUUUAAAACAAAAAUUACGAAUUUUUGCUUAAACCAUCACUCUGUAUGUUCAUUGUAGAUUUGUAGUUCUAUAUCUACUAUUUUAAAAGGAUUAAGGUUACGUCACCUCUUAGUGCAAGUUGCCUAUCGUUAAUUGGGUCCUUUUAUUUUAUUAGACACUAGGGGCGCCCCCCCCCCCCCC